CAACACAAAUUGACAACACACUGGACUCUACAGAAUAUUAAAAUGGAGCUAGAGUGAAAGUUUGUAAGAAAAAGCUCGCGUCCCAAUGGCUUUUGGCUACAUUUGAACACAAACCUGAUACUUGGACCCGGCCACUUAUUUUUCGAAAGACUGAAUGACUCGGACAGGUCAUCUGCCGAGAACUGCUGUGCAUUGAAUCAAAUAAAAGUAAAAUUGACAUAUUAUUUACUUCGAAUCUCAUUGGAAUACCUCAGGGAGUUGAACAAAAAAUGUAUACACAUUCAAUUGAAAUUUGAUUGAAUUAUAUCAUGCUUAAGGUUAGGU